GCACUCACCAGGGGUCCGGCGACGUGUGGGGCAGCGGCCGCCCCGUGCCCCAUAAGUGCCCGCAGAGGGUUCAGCUCCAGCACAGUGCGCACCGUUCUGCCCUCCAACGCUAUGGGGCAAGUUGUGGGGCGGCGCUAUGGGGUGGUGCUAUGGGGCAGAGCUAUGGGGCGGCGCUAUGGGGCGGCUGUGGGGUGGAGCCAUGGGGCAGUGCUGAGUGGCAGCGCUAUGGGGCAGCUGUGGGGUGAAGCCAUGGGGCAGCACUAUGGGGCAGCACUAUGGGGCAGCUGUGGGGUGGAGCCAUGGGGCAGCGCUAUGGGGCAGUGCUAUGGGGCAGUGCUAUGGGGCAGCGCUAUGGGGCAGGGCUAUGGGGCAGGGCUAUGGGGCAGGGCUAUGGGGCAGGAUGAAGGGGCAGCUGUGGGGCAGCACUAUGGGCUAGCGCUAUGGGCUAGCGCUAUGGGGCAGCUGUGGGGAAAAACCAUGGGGCAGCGCUAUGGGGCAGCGCUAUGGGGCAGCUGUGGGGAAAAGCCAUGGGGCAGCGCUAUGGGGCANAAGCGGCCGAAAGACGCUCCGCUUCCGGAUCGCGGGUGGGGGCGCGGGGAGAUGACGUCACAAGGCGGCGCAGGCGCGAUGACGUUGACGCGCAUGCGCAGAACGCUAUUCUGGGCACUACGGACGCGAAACGCUGACUCCACGUGGCGCGGUGUGAUGACGCAACCAGGCGGCGCGGCGAGAUGA
rnacentral:lncRNA from 1 species